UACGUAGGGGGCAAGCGUUGUCCGGAAUCAUUGGGCGUAAAGCGCGUGUAGGCGGCCAGGUAAGUCCGUUCUGAAAGCCCGGGGCUCAACCCCGGGAGGCGGAUGGAUACUGCUUGGCUCGAGUCCGGAAGAGGCGAGUGGAAUUCCCGGUGUAGCGGUGAAAUGCGCAGAUAUCGGGAGGAACACCAAUGGCGAAGGCAGCUCGCUGGGACGUUACGUGACGCUGAGACGCGAAAGCGUGGGGAGCAAACAGG
rnacentral:rRNA from 1 species